GGGAUGCAGCGCGCGCCUGAGCUUCACGCCUGCUUCGGCUUCAGGAGUUUUUAAAGUCAAAUUGAACUUUCUGUCAGAAGACUGCACGCUUAUUCUGAUCCUGCAAUACAGUAGAAAUUGGAGCAGAAAUGACUCUAAGAGUAAAACUACUAAUGAUCUACUUCUGACAGAGUCUAGUGCUUUGUAUUUCCCCAAAUCCCCUAAGGAAGCCGCUGCACCUUAAUUCUGUCACCUGCGUGCCCUCCAUAACUACCUCCCUGAAGGGGCGUGAAGCUUCCUUCUGACUGGAUGCCAAGGACGCACCUGUUUGUCGUGUCCAAGACCACUUACUGAACUUGGGCUGGCUUUGUGCCCACGCAUGAUGCUGCACGAGACCACACGCAAGGCUCCGGGAGAUGGUACUGAGAAGACCCUCAAUCCCACCUCAUUGAAGCAGAAUCCUAACGAGCAGGCAUUGACUCCAAAUAACUGCCACGGGCUUUCUAAGAAACUGCUCCUGCUUGAGUGAGUUUUGAGAAAAAUAAUGAAUGCAAAUUUUACUAUUAUAUCAAAACAUCUCUUAAUAAAGUUCAUUAAGAUGGGAAGGCAA
rnacentral:lncRNA from 1 species